UACGUAGGGACCGAGCGUUGUCCGGAAUCAUUGGGCGUAAAGAGCGUGUAGGCGGCCACUUAAGUCCUGCGUGAAAUCUUGCGGCUCAACCGCAAGCGGUCGUGGGAAACUGGGUGGCUAGAGUGCGGGAGAGGAGAGUGGAAUUCCUGGUGUAGCGGUGGAAUGCGCAGAUAUCAGGAAGAACACCCGUGGCGAAGGCGGCUCUCUGGAACGCAACUGACGCUGAGACGCGAAAGCGUGGGGGCAAACAGG
rnacentral:rRNA from 1 species